AGAAGAUCUAUAGAUCUGAUCAAACUACAGACAUUGUAGCUAAACUAGAUAAUCUUAACAAUAUUAGUAAUUCCUGUAGUAAUGAAGAAUCUUUGGACAAGAAAGUGAGGAGGGGGAAAUAACCUUUUCCUGGGAGGUACCAGGAGAAAGAAUCAGAAGAGGCAGGCAGCUCUGUAUCCAGGACAACAAAUAUAAUAAGAAGUGGAAGAGAGAGAAAUUACAAGUUAUCUCAGCUGAAGAACAGAAAUACAAAGAUAAAUAAAAUGAGAAGCUUUGGAGGAUUUGAAAAAGCAGCAUGUACUCGCAGUUUUCAUUUUGAUUACUAGUUAAAAAUUUGUGGUGAUUCUUCCAGCAGACUCAAUGUCACAAAAUCAUAGAUUGUUUGGAGGCUCUAGCAGGGGAGUGCAGCUACCAUAUAUCCUUGGUUGAUAAACGCUAGGUACUGCCUCUACUGGGGGAGGUCAUCUUCGAUCAAGCACGCAGUUUCAGGAGGAAUGCACAUGAAAAAGUGAAGGAGGAAGCAGACACCCACCUAGCCAGCCAGGUCAGCUGAAUGAACCCUGACUAUCAAUGGGGUGACAGAUGUUGCAACCAG
rnacentral:lncRNA from 1 species